ACCCGCUGAACUUAAGCAUAUCAAUAAGCGGAGGAAAAGAAACUAACAAGGAUUCCCCUAGUAACGGCGAGUGAAGCGGGAAGAGCUCAAAUUUGAGAUCUGGUGGCCUCAGGUCAUCCGAGUUGUAAUCUAUAGAAGUGUUUUCCGUGCUGGCUCAUGUACAAGUCCCUUGGAACAGGGCGUCAUAGAGGGUGAGAAUCCCGUCCUUGACAUGAACUACCAGUGCUCUGUGAUACAUUUUCAACGAGUCGAGUUGUUUGGGAAUGCAGCUCAAAAUGGGUGGUAAAUUCCAUCUAAAGCUAAAUAUUGGCGAGAGACCGAUAGCGAACAAGUACCGUGAGGGAAAGAUGAAAAGCACUUUGGAAAGAGAGUUAAACAGUAUGUGAAAUUGUUGAAAGGGAAACGAUUGAAGUCAGUCGUGCUCUUUGGAUUCAGCCGGUUCUGCCGGUGUACUUCCUUUGAGUGGGGUCAACAUCAGUUUUGAUCGCUGGAUAAAGGCAGGAGGAACGUAGUACCCUCGGGUAAACUUAUAGCCUCUUGUCACAUACAGUGGUUGGGACUGAGGAACGCAGCACGCCUUUAUGGCCGGGAUUCGUCCACGUACGUGCUUAGGAUGUUGACAUAAUGGCUUU
rnacentral:rRNA from 1 species